rnacentral:rRNA from 1 species
CUACGGGCCGCAGCAGUGGGGAAUAUUGCACAAUGGAGGAAACUCUGAUGCAGCAACGCCGCGUGGAGGAUGACAUUUUUCGGAGCGUAAACUCCUUUUAUAUAGGAAGAAGAUGACGGUACUAUAUGAAUAAGCGCCGGCUAACUCCGUGCCAGCAGCCGCGGUAAUACGGAGGGCGCAAGCGUUACUCGGAAUCACUGGGCGUAAAGAGCGUGUAGGCGGAUUAAAAAGUCAGAAGUGAAAUCCUAUAGCUUAACUAUAGAACUGCUUCUGAAACUCUUAAUCUAGAAUAUGGGAGAGGUAGAUGGAAUUUCUGGUGUAGGGGUAAUAUCCGUAGAGAUCAGAAGGAAUACCGAUUGCGAAGGCGAUCUACUAGAACAUUAUUGACGCUGAGACGCGAAAGCGUGGGGAGCAAACAGGAUUAGAUACCCCCGUAGUC